UCAAGCAACAUUUUCACGUUGGACAUGACUAACCUGAAGAUCGAAGACACCGCCAUCUAUUACUUUGCAAGAGACAGUAUAGCUAUUACUGGGGCCAAGGGACCAUGGUGACAGUGACUUCAGAGACACCAUCUCCCCUCACGCUUUAUGGCCUGUUCUCCUCCUGUGAGGAGCACAACACCGAUUCUGCAAUCUUUGGUUGUUUGGUGAUGGACUAUUCCCCUGACGUCACCAAGGUAACCUGGAAGAAAGGUGGGGAGCUAAUCACGGAUGGAUUGAAGACUUACCCAUCAGUGAGAAACAAGAAGGGAACCUACACCCUGGGCAGCCAGUUAACCCUGCCCGGGUCAGCGGUAGAUUGCCCCAGCAAAAUCUACUGUGAGGUUCAACACAGCGGGUCACACAGGAGCAAAGAAAUGCCAUGUCCAGGUACAGGUCCUCUCCCACCAACUCUUCUCCUAACUGUGAGCUCCAGUGAAGAAAUCGCAAGCAGCAAGUUUGCAACCGUCGUCUGUUCAAUCAUCGAUUUCCAUCCGAAGUCAAUCUCCGUGAGUUGGUUGAAAAAUGGCCAACUCUUGGAUUCUGGCUUCUUCACGUCUCCCGUGUGUGAGGCGAACGGGAACUUCUCGGUGACGAGUCGGCUGAUGGUCCCUUAUGGUGAAUGGUACAACAACGCAGUCUAUACCUGCCAGGUCACUCAUGAAGAGAACGUUCAAAGUAAAAACAUCACCGCACUCCAGGAAGAUACCGACUGCCACCCUAACACCGUUAAAAUCCUCCCACCGCCAGUAGAACAAGUCUUACUGGAGGCAACGGUGACGUUAACCUGCGUUGUGUCCAAUCUCCCUUCUGGAGUCAACGUGACCUGGAAACAAGAAAAGAAGCCUCUGAAAUCAGAGAUUGCUGACCAGCCCGGACAGAAUCCUGACAGCGUGAUCAGCAAAUUAGACAUUUCGACUGAAGCCUGGCUGAGUGGCGUUACCUUUGAAUGUGUGGUGAACCAUCAAAAUCUACCGACUCCGCUGAGGGACUCCAUCCACAAGGAGAAAGUGAUUAAUCCGCUGGAGCCAUCAGUGUCGGUCCUCCUGCUACCAACAGAAGAAAUCUCCGCUCAGAGGUUUCUCUCCCUCACCUGUUUAGUGAGAGGUUUCUCCCCCCGAGAGAUCUUCGUCAAGUGGACAAACAAUGACAAGCAGGUGAAUCCCAGUAACUACAAGAACACCGAAGUGAUGGCGGAGAGUGACAACACCUCCUUCUUCAGGACCGCCUGUUAUCCAUUACAGCGGAGGAGUGGGCCAGCGGUGCUUCUUACUCCUGUGUGGUGGGACAUGAAGCGAUUCCAUUGAAGAUCAUCAACAGACAGUCGAUAAAUCCAGCGGUAAACCGAGUUUCGUAAACAUUUCACUUGCACUGAUGGACACUGUUAAUUCAUGUCAAUAAAAAU